AAGGUCCUACACUCUCUUCCCCAUCGGCACCGCCCGACCCUCCCGCGUCCGCCCUCCUCAGUUGCCCUGUCCGACGCCGUCGCACGCCGGUCCUCGCGCCAUUUCCAAAUCAUUGCCACCACCGCCCGCCGCUUCUCCUAUUCCUCUCUCCAUGCCCCCUGCCCACUCGGUAUCAUGAAUUCAUGAUCAUCCUCUCCACCCGCCCCAGAUUGGGGUCGACAACGCCCCCUAUCCACGCUUCCCGGGACCGGCCCUUGGCCAGCCGCAAGUGCUAGGGCGGCGACUGGGAUGGUGGAUCUUUUGGUUGGGGACCAUGGGACGGGCUCUGCUGUGUAUUUUGGUUGGGGAUUUGGUCGGCUAACGCGGGAUGAGCGGCCAUUGAUGAAUUUUUCACUGCUUAGUUCGAUUCAUCAGAUUCGGUACGCUCCCCAUUACCUCUCAUCAUCAUCAUCACUCUCUCUCUCUCUCUCACACACACACGCGCGUGCACGAAGCCAUGUGCUCCCUCUCUUUCUGGCUGGCUCCUCUGUGUAUGUGUGCACGCAGUUCAAAGUGAUAACCAGCGCAGCUCCACUUACAUUAUGAUGAGUAGAUUGUGGAGCAAGAGAUGUUAAGAGUUGUGUUUGUAUGUUCGAGCAAAGCCGAAGCCCUUUGGAUGCUACUUCACUAUUUGUGAUCAACUUCCGAUGUGGGUUAAGUUAGCUAGUCUCUGCAUCCAGAUCUCCACAUUUGGGGCUGCUUCCUCCAUGCAAUUGCAGCUGCACUUCCCCGGUGGAAGCAGCAGUAUAGUAACAAACCAAACAUGGAUGGAUGGAUUGGAUUUGAACCAUUCGUAAGCUGGAGCCUUUUUAAGGCAAUCCCAUUGAGAAUCCCUUUUCGUCAUAGCUUAGAUUUCCUACUAUGGUCUCUGUUAUUGCCCAUUGUUUUUGUAUUCUUUAUUGCGUCUAAUUCCUUCCCAGUUCUCGCCAUGAUAACCAAUUUCACUUGAAUUCCUUCAUUCACAUUGAUUUUUUUUACUUAUACUUUUUUAUCAUAAUUGUUUAUUACGUGGAUUCCUUCGCUAGGAUUCACAUAGGCUAACUUUUGUUUGGUUUCAACUCCUUUCCUUCUUCUGUGCCACAGCUUUCAGAUGACUGGAAUUGAGACGAUUCAAUUUGCCAAUUUGGCAUACCAUUGUGCCUUGAGGUUAGUAUAGCAGAGAGUGCAGCGGCAUAGCUCCUAGCUUACGGUUUGUGAUCUACAAUUACAGGGAUACAGUGCUGGAAUUGCAAUGUCAGGGCAACAAAAAUCAAUCUGCAAGCUCCCUGUGGUUGUCAUGGUUAUGAAUCUCUGAAUAUAAUUGUGGUGCAUCUUGGAGCAUAGUAUUAAAAGUAGUUGUUCACUGUCAAGUACUUGCAAUUAUUUAGUUUCGUUUUAGCUUUCAUUACAUAUCUCACUUUUUUUGUUUCCUCUGUGGGCUAAAAGCCUAAAAGACCUAUGUAUACUGUCAUAUGCUAAAUGAGUCAGGGUCAACAUGCAUCGAUUCCUUGGAAUACCGAUUACCUUCUUCUGAUAUUA